CUAAGCCUUAACAGCCAGAGAAAAAAUGCCAGGCUAACCUCAAGGAUAUGUCAUUUUGAGGUGCUAACUUAGAAACAUGUAUUCAUCAGUGUUACAAAUAUUGAUCUUCUGUACAAGAUUUCCAUUUUGUGAAUAAUUUUGUAGCUUCGAUUGACAAUAGUACUCGUCUGGUUGGAAUUCUGUACACUAACAUUCGAUUAAUUUGUCCUUGUGAUAUGGCAAUAACUUCUAUAUUAUACAUAAUUUGUCCUUGAACAGAUAAAACUAAUUGGAGAGGUACAAACCCCUCCGGAUGGCACUAAUACUACCUCAAUUGCAUCACUAAAUGCAUGCAAACAAUGAGCGGGAGCUGUAAGAAGUUAAAAAAGAAGAUAUGUAAACGGAAUACAUUUGUUGCGAUUACAACAUACAAUCGUGCAGGCACUUUUGGGGCAAAACUUGUAUCUGCCAUUAAUGCCGGAUUCAAACCUUAGUAGUUUGUGACACAACGAGAAGAAGUUGAAGGGAGCAUAAGGUGCAUCUCUAGAAUAUACUUUCGAAUAAAUUAAUGGCGGCUCGUGAUCAUGCAAUAAGUGCAUCUCCAAUUUUAUUUGCUACCAGAUUGUAUGUAUGAAAGAAACUGUCAAUAAUAAAACGGACUUUUGUUGUAUAUGCAAUGCUGAAAGGAAAUCUGUAAAGUGAUCGAACGGACUUUUGUUGUGUAAACGGACUUUUAUCUUUUAAUUGUAAAGGGACAUUAUUCCAGUCUUGUGGCCAA